rnacentral:rRNA from 1 species
GAUCAUGGCUCAGGAUGAACGCUGGCGGCGUGCUUAACACAUGCAAGUCGAGCGAAGCACUUUGCUUUGAUUUCUUCGGGAUGAAGAGCUUAGUGACUGAGCGGGCGGACGGGUGAGGUAACGCGUGGGUAACCUGCCUCAUACAGGGGGAUAACAGUUAGAAAUGACUGCUAAUACCGCAUAAGGCCACAGCACCGCAUGGUGCAGGGGGUAAAAACUCCGGUGGUAUUAGAUGGACCCG